rnacentral:rRNA from 1 species
ACGCUGGCGGCAGGCCUAACACAUGCAAGUCGAGCGGUAGAGAGAAGCUUGCUUCUCUUGAGAGCGGCGGACGGGUGAGUAAUGCCUAGGAAUCUGCCUGGUAGUGGGGGAUAACGUUCGGAAACGGACGCUAAUACCGCAUACGUCCUACGGGAGAAAGCAGGGGACCUUCGGGCCUUGCGCUAUCAGAUGAGCCUAGGUCGGAUUAGCUAGUUGGUGAGGUAAUGGCUCACCAAGGCGACGAUCCGUAACUGGUCUGAGAGGAUGAUCAGUCACACUGGAACUGAGACACGGUCCAGACUCCUACGGGAGGCAGCAGUGGGGAAUAUCGGACAAUGGGCGAAAGCCUGAUCCAGCCAUGCCGCGUGUGUGAAGAAGGUCUUCGGAUUGUAAAGCACUUUAAGUUGGGAGGAAGGGCAGUAAAUUAAUACUUUGCUGUUUUGACGUUACCGACAGAAUAAGCACCGGCUAACUCUGUGCCAGCAGCCGCGGUAAUACAGAGGGUGCAAGCGUUAAUCGGAAUUACUGGGCGUAAAGCGCGCGUAGGUGGUUUGUUAAGUUGGAUGUGAAAUCCCCGGGCUCAACCUGGGAACUGCAUUCAAAACUGACUGACUAGAGUAUGGUAGAGGGUGGUGGAAUUUCCUGUGUAGCGGUGAAAUGCGUAGAUAUAGGAAGGAACACCAGUGGCGAAGGCGACCACCUGGACUGAUACUGACACUGAGGUGCGAAAGCGUGGGGAGCAAACAG